AGUCGAGCGACCCAUUUUUGCCGCAAGGUGAAAGUGGGAGCGGCGGACGGCUGAGUAAUAUAUAGGAAUUUGCCCCUAAGUGGAACAUAGCUCCGGGAAACCGGAGGUAAUAUUUCAUGGUCUUCACCUUUGGUGAAGUAAAGGCCUUUACCGGUCGCUAAGGGAUGAGCCUGUAUCCUAUCAGGUAGUUGGUAGAGUAAUAGCCUACCAAGCCUAUGACGGGUAGCUGAUCUGGGAGGAUGAUCAGCCAGAGGGGGACUGAGACACGGCCCCCACUCCUACGGGAGGCAGCAAUCAGGAAUAGUCGGCAAUGGGCGAAAGCCUGACCGCGCGACACCGCGUGUAGGAUGAAGGUCUAAUCGAUCGUAAACUACUGUUGGAGGGGAAGAAGAUCUGCCGUAAGGCAGAUUUGACGGUACCCUCCGAGAAAGGAGCCGCUAACUGCGUGCCAGAAGCGUCGGUAAUACGUGGGCUUCAAGCAUUAUCCGGUUUUAUUGGGCGUAAAGGGUCGUGUAGGCGGUUUUAUAAGGUAUCUUUGAAAGCUCGAUGCUUAACAUCGAGUUGGGGAUACGACUGUAAUGACUAGAAUUUCUUCAAGGGUAAUCGGAACUCAGAGAGGAGUAGUGAAAUGCGUUGAUACUCUGGGGAACACCAAUGGCGAA
rnacentral:rRNA from 1 species